rnacentral:rRNA from 1 species
CCCGGGCCUUGUACACACCGCCCGUCACACCAUGGGAAUUGGUUCUACCCGAAGCCGGUGUGCUAACCGUAAGGAAGCAGCCGACCACGGUAGGGUCAGUGACUGGGGUG